AUUNAACGCUGGCGGCAGGCNUAACACAUGCAAGUNNNGCGGAUGAAGGGANCUUGCUCCNGGAUUCAGCGGCGGACGGGUGNAGUAAUGCCUAGGAAUNUGCCUGGUAGUGGGGGAUAACGUCCGGAAACGGGCGCUAAAUACCGCAUACGUCNUGAGGGAGAAAAGUGGGGGAUCUUCGNNCCUCACGCUAUCAGAUGAGCCUAGGUCGGAUUAGCUAGUUGGGUGGGGUAAAGGCCUACCAAGGCGACGAUCCGUAACUGGUCUGAGAGGAUGAUCAGUCACACUGGAACUGAGACACGGUCCAGACUCCUACGGGAGGCAGCAGUGGGGAAUAUUGGACAAUGGGCGAAAGCCUGAUCCAGCCAUGCCGCGUGUGUGAAGAAGGUCUUCGGAUUGUAAAGCACUUUAAGUUGGGAGGAAGGGCAGUAAGUUAAUACCUUGCUGUUUUGACGUUACCAACAGAAUAAGCACCGGCUAACUUCGUGCCAGCAGCCGCGGUAAUACGAAGGGUGCAAGCGUUAAUCGGAAUUACUGGGCGUAAAGCGCGCGUAGGUGGUUCAGCAAGUUGGAUGUGAAAUCCCCGGGCUCAACCUGGGAACUGCAUCCAAAACUACUGAGCUAGAGUACGGUAGAGGGUGGUGGAAUUUCCUGUGUAGCGGUGAAAUGCGUAGAUAUAGGAAGGAACACCAGUGGCGAAGGCGACCACCUGGACUGAUACUGACACUGAGGUGCGAAAGCGUGGGGAGCAAACAGG
rnacentral:rRNA from 1 species